rnacentral:rRNA from 1 species
UGGGGAGUCUUAGACAAUGGGGGAAACCCUGAUCUAGCCAUGCCGCGUGAGUGACGAAGGCCCUAGGGUCGUAAAGCUCUUUCGCCAGGGAAGAUAAUGACGGUACCUGGUAAAGAAACCCCGGCUAUCUCCGUGCCAGCAGCCGGGGUAAUACGGAGGGGGUUAGCGUUGUUCGGAAUUACUGGGCGUAAGGCGCACGUAGGCGGGCCAGUCAGUCAGAGGUGAAAUCCCAGGGCUCAACCCUGGAACUGCCUUUGAUACUGCUGGUCUCGAGUCCGAGAGAGGUGAGUGGAAUUCCGAGUGUAGAGGUGAAAUUCGUAGAUAUUCGGAGGAACACCAGUGGCGAAGGCGGCUCACUGGCUCGGUACUGACGCUGAGGUGCGAAAGCGUGGGGAGCAAACAGGAUUAGAUACCCGUGUAGUCC